GCUGGGCAUGGUGGCGCAUGCCUGUAAUCCCAGCUACUCAGGAGGCUGAGGCAGGGUAAUUGUUUGAACCCAGGAAGUAGAGGUUGCAGUGAGCCGAGAUGGCAACACUGCAUUCCCGUCUGGGCAACAGAGUAAGACUGUGUCUCAA
rnacentral:SRP_RNA from 1 species